UACGGAGGGGGUAAGCGUUGUUCGGAAUUACUGGGCGUAAAGCGCGCGCAGGCGGUCUUGUAAGUCGAAUGUGAAAGCCCUCGGCUCAACCGAGGAACUGCGUUCGAUACUGCAAGGCUUGAGUCCGGUAGGGGAUAGCGGAAUUCCCGGUGUAGCGGUGGAAUGCGUAGAUAUCGGGAGGAACACCUAUGGCGAAGGCGGCUAUCUGGGCCGGAACUGACGCUGAGGCGCGAGAGCUAGGGGAG
rnacentral:rRNA from 1 species